rnacentral:rRNA from 1 species
UGGGGAAUAUUGCACAAUGGGCGCAAGCCUGAUGCAGCGACGCCGCGUGGGGGAUGACGGCCUUCGGGUUGUAAACUCCUUUCGCCAGGGACGAAGCGUUUUGUGACGGUACCUGGAGAAGAAGCACCGGCUAACUACGUGCCAGCAGCCGCGGUAAUGCGUAGGGUGCAAGCGUUGUCCGGAAUUACUGGGCGUAAAGAGCUCGUAGGUGGUUUGUCACGUCGUCUGUGAAAUUCCACAGCUUAACUGUGGGCGUGCAGGCGAUACGGGCUGACUUGAGUACUGUAGGGGUAACUGGAAUUCCUGGUGUAGCGGUGAAAUGCGCAGAUAUCAGGAGGAACACCGAUGGCGAAGGCAGGUUACUGGGCAGUUACUGACGCUGAGGAGCGAAAGCAUGGGUAGCAAACAGGAUUAGAUACCCUGGUAGUCCAUGCCGUAAACGGUGGGCGCUAGGUGUAGGGACCUUUUGGGGUUUCUGUGCCGUAGCUAACGCAUUAAGCGCCCCGCCUGGGGAGUACGGCCGCAAGGCUA